rnacentral:rRNA from 1 species
GGAAUAUUGCACAAUGGGGGAAACCCUGAUGCAGCGACGCCGCGUGAGUGAAGAAGUAUUUCGGUAUGUAAAGCUCUAUCAGCAGGAACGAGACAAGACGGUACCUGACUAAGAAGCCCCGGCUAACUACGUGCCAGCAGCCGCGGUAAUACGUAGGGGGCAAGCGUUAUCCGGAAUCACUGGGUGUAAAGGGAGCGUAGACGGUGAUGCAAGUCAGAAGUGAAAGCCCGGGGCUCAACUCCGGGACUGCUUUUGAAACUGUGUAACUGGAGUGCAGGAGAGGUAAGCGGAAUUCCUGGUGUAGCGGUGAAAUGCGUAGAUAUCAGGAGGAACACCAGUGGCGAAGGCGGCUUACUGGACUGUAACUGACGUUGAGGCUCGAAAGCGUGGGGAGCAAA